AUGUGAAACGUCUGUUAAAUUAAUAUUUUAUUAGUCAUAUGUAUGAAUGAUACAUAGUAUAUUGUGAAGAAUUCCCCAAUAGAAAUUAAUUUUAUACGCAAGAAAUUAACCUCCUAAUUAACCAUUAAUGUUAUUUUCCGUGGGAUGAGUUACCAUAUCGAUAUUCGUACAUUUUCUUUCCAGGUUAAAAAUUUAAGAUGGUAAAGGCUGUGAAUAAUUGUUAACGCCAUUUAUUCUCAGAUUGCUGUGUGUGUGUGUGUGUUUAUCUACGAGAGUUAAGACUAUCCGAACACAGUUUGAUUAUGCUUCAAUUUGGUCAAAGCUAGAGUAUGCUUUUGUUGAACCAUGGCAUAGCAAAGGGAAUUCAUCUCUGUCGUCUCAUCAUGGCCCACAUUCACUCCAGUGGGAUUUGUGGUAGACAAAAUGGCACUGGGCCAGGUUUUUCUUGAAGUUCAGCUUCCGUUGUCAGUAUCAUUCACCACUGCUCCAUUUUCAGUCAUGUAUCAUUUGUACCAUCUGAUGUUGAUGCAAUGACUUGUAGAUGGGUGAUUUAGAAGCAUGUACUGAAGAUGCAGGCAUAUCGGCAGAAAUCAAAUUUAAAUGGCACUUAAGGUAGCUGAGAAUGGAUAAAACAGAGUGGAAACUGCAGUACUCUGAAUCCGGUUCCCCUGCCCUUCGGAAUUGGAUGCGACUGCACAGCUCUGCCAGAAUCACAAGGUCAAGGAUGAUGGGACUAGCUAACAGUGAGUCUUCACAUGUAUUAUGGAUUACUAAAGUGUUAUGGCCACCAAGAAGAAUCUCUGAUGUAUAUUCAUCCAUGGCUCGCUUGCUGUCACCUAUAAAAACAGACACUGCAGCAAUGAAGUCUGGGAAGUAAAUGGAGGGCCGUGGCUUCAUGAUUUGCAUAUAAGGACGAAGCUGUUGCUGAAGAUUCACAUCAAGCACUUGGGCUCUCUUCAUGGCAUCAGACAAGUUCAUUGAUGAUAUGUCCCAGCCAUCUACAAUAAUAUCAUCAGGACUCACCAUUGGAAGAAACUGGGACAUAGGGAUGUAAACACCUUGCCCAUUUGUUCCAGUACCCAGGCGAACUGUAGAGGCUUGCGUGAUUGAGCCAUACCUGCAACAACAGGCAGCAAUAGUGUGGAUUAUCAAUAAUGUAAUUUUAUAAGAAUAUUCAGUGCUUUUACUGCAAGAAUUAGGGUAAAUUGAAGUUAUCAGAGACAUUACAUAUGUGAACUGGUAAGGACUGACCUAUAGAAUGUUUAUUUUUAUAUUCAUGAGGAGCAGUAGUUUAACUUCCAUGGUACCCAACCAAAUUCAGGAUGAAGUUUAUUGAAAGUUCUUAGUACAAAAGCAGUAGUCUGUCUCACCAGUCAGCCUUAUGCACCCCUUCUUUGGUUUCCCAGCUGAGCUGUAGCUUAUUUGCAAGAAGGGCUGCAGUGACAGUGGAGCCAUUGUUUCCACCCCAUCCAACAAGCAUGAGUCCCAACUUAGGAAGUUGACGUUUAGUUUGGAUAUGCAGUUUUGUCGUCACUGGCGUUGCCUGUUUGAAUCAAUAAGAGUUAAACAAAAAUAAAUAAACGUUAUAAGAAUACUUUCUUUACAAUUUUACAUACCAAGGAAACCACUUGCAAAUUAAUGCAGAGAAAAGUAAUGGACAAAAGAAAUAUUUAAGAGGGUAGGAAGCAACUGAAUUAUGAGCAAUUUUGUGAAUCAUGCUUUUCCCCUAAUAUUUUUAAACAGUUACGUCAAAGGCUUGAACACAUAAGCUGUAUGGGCAAAACACACCAACACAACAGAGAGUUUUGUUGUGGCAGUCAAUUGAAAGAUCAAAAUAGGAUGAUAAAAUAACAUGAAAGUGUAUCAUGGGAAAACAUGUUAUAGUAAUGUGGAUCAUAGAAAUGUGUCUAUAGAUGGUGGAAUUUGUGUUGGCAUUGUUGAGCCAUUAUGCUAGUCCACACAAUGUAACUGUAUCAAUAUAUUACAAAACAAUGUAUUUGUAUGUGUAGUA